rnacentral:lncRNA from 1 species
AAGAGGGCACUGCUCUUUCGAGCCCUAGGUAAAUAAAACAUCUAUGCUGCCAAAUCGAGCCCUAGGUAAAUAGAACAUCUAUGCAGCCAAAUCGAGCCCUAAGUAACUAGGAUUUUACCUUAAUUCGUGAACUGGAGGAUGGAUUCGUGGAGGCGGUGAGCGUGACGGCCGACGGCGACCCUAGACACCGAAGAGAUGAGGGCGACGAGAGGCUGCUGCUGGGAGGCUGGAGUUGUCUGGAGAACGGCGAGAUGAGGGCCACGGGAUGCUGCUGCCGCUGCUCUGCUCGCGUGAGGCUGCAGCGAGCACCAGUUGCUGCGGCGGCGCCGGUGGCUUCUCAGGCGUGAGGCGUGCAGCCGCCGUGAGUGUGAGAAGUGAGGGAGAGAGGCGGCGGGAGAGGCUGUAAUUGGGAGGGGAGGGGAGGGUGGGGAUUCUGGGUUUGGGAAAU